UACGUAGGUGGCGAGCGUUGUCCGGAAUUACUGGGUGUAAAGCGCGUGUAGGCGGGAGGCCAAGUCUGUGGUGAAAUCGCUCGGCUUAACUGGGCGGGGUCCAUGGAAACUGGUCACCUGGAGGUCGGUAGAGGCAAGUGGAAUUCCCGGUGUAGUGGUGAAAUGCGUAGAGAUCGGGAGGAACACCAGUGGCGAAGGCGGCUUGCUGGGCCGGACCUGACGCUGAGGAGCGAAAGCGUGGGUAGCAAACAGG
rnacentral:rRNA from 1 species